rnacentral:rRNA from 1 species
CAAUAAGCGGAGGAAAAGAAACCAACAGGGAUUGCCCUAGUAACGGCGAGCGAAGCGGCAACAGCUCAAAUUUGAAAUCUGGCUACUUUGUAGUCCGAGUUGUAAUUUGUAGAGGAUGCUUUUGGUGAGGUGCCUUCCGAGUUCCCUGGAACGGGACGCCAGAGAGGGUGAGAGCCCCGUACGGUUGGAUACCAAACCUUUGUAUAGCUCCUUCAACGAGUCGAGUAGUUUGGGAAUGCUGCUCUAAAUGGGAGGUAUAUCUCUUCUAAAGCUAAAUAUAGGCUAGAGACCGAUAGCGCACAAGUAGAGUGAUCGAAAGAUGAAAAGCACUUUGAAAAGAGAGUUAAACAGCACGUGAAAUUGUUGAAAGGGAAGCGCCUAUGACCAGACUUGUUUCUUUCAGUUUUGUUAGUUCUCGGACUGAUUUACUCUGUUAGUACAGGCCAGCAUCAGUUUGUUGUCGGGGAGAAAGGCUUAGGGAAUGUGGCUCCUUCGGGAGUGUUAUAGCCCUUUGCAUAAUACCCUUCGGCAGACUGAGGACCGCGCUUCGGCAAGGAUGCUGGCGUAAUGG